ensembl:lncRNA novel transcript
AGUGCGCCCUCCUCAACAUGGAUGUUGAAUUCAAGGGGUACACGUGCAGGUUUGUUACAUGGAUAUAUUGUGUAAUGGUGAAAUUUGAGCUUCUGGUGAAUCCAUCACCCAGUCAACAUUCUACCCAAAAGGUCCUGGAUGUCUUCCCUCAGUUUUUCAUGUGGAUCAUGACCUGCUGGAGGAUGAUAGCCUUGUGGAGCAGAGUUCUGCAUGGCUGGCAAGACCUCAGGAAACUUGCAAUCAUGGCAGAAGAUGAAGAGAAAGCAAGGCACCUUCUUUACAAGGUGGCAGAAAGGAGAAGUGCCAAGCAAAAGGGGAAGAACUCCUUAUGAAACCAUCAGAUCUCAUAAGAACUCACUCACUAUCAUGAGAACAGCAUGAGGGAAAACACCCCCAUGAUUCAAUCACCUCCACCUGGUCUCUCCCUUGACAUGGGGGGUUACGGGGAUUACAAUUCAAGGUGAGAUUUGGCUGGGACACAAAGCCUCACCAUAUCAACUAAAUGCAGAAUCUGGAUUUCAGAAGGGAUUUAGGUUCAGAUCCAGAUUUUUAUUUCUUAGUAGUUGUGUGAUCUUGAGUACGUUAUUUAAAUAAACCUCAUAUUGUAAAGAUGGGAAGUAGGAUGUAAAAGAAAUAAUAAAGAGAUCAGGAUGCCUGGAAGGGAAGGUUUGGACAGAAGAAAUACGGAUUAAAAAAGAUAGAUUGGAAUUCAUAGAGGGUUUUUGUCAUUUGUGGCUGCCUGCUAUGUUUGAACAUUUCUCUAUACAGUGUGAAAGUUUCUAACUUUAUAUGUCCUUUUCAAGGACAUAUUCAGGGCAAAAACACAUCUCUGGACUCCCUUGUACCUGGGAUGCAGGUGUGUGGCUUAGGUUCUGCCAGUUGGGACCACCCAUAUAAGACUUGAUUCAGAGGAUAAAAAUGUCGUCACAUGUGGGAGUUUGCCCUACUUAAGGGAGAGUCAGUCUUCUGGGCAUGGCGGGGGCAAUGGUGUCCACUUCAUCUGGGGCAUUGGCAGAAGAGUUUCUGGCGUCUAGUCCCAAGGAGGAUUGAUGCUGAAUGGUGGUGGUAGUGACAUUUCACUAGAGAAUCCAA